AGGAUGAACGCUGGCGGCGUGCCUAAGACAUGCAAGUCGAGUGGGUUUAGACCCACGGCGAACGGGUGAGUAAUACCUAGGAACUUUCUUUAAGUGGAGCAUAACCCAUAGAAAUGUGGGACAAUUCUCCAUGUGGCAGUAAUGCUAAAGUCGCAAGACGCUUAAAGUGAGGCCUGGGCACCAUCAGCUAGUUGGUAAGGUAAUGGCUUACCAAGGCUAUGACGGUUAGGGGUCCCGAGAGGGAUAACCCCCACACUGGAACUGCGACACGGUCCAGACUCCUACGGGAGGCAGCAGUUUGGAAUUUUGGACAAUGGGCAAAGCCUGAUCCAGCGACGCCGCGUGGACGAUGAAGGCCUUCGGGUCGUAAAGUCCUUUUGCUCGGGAACAAUAUUUUGAGCGUACCGAGAGAAUAAGAGGUUGCUAACUCUGUGCCAGCAGCCGC
rnacentral:rRNA from 1 species